rnacentral:miRNA from 1 species
UCUCUCGGCUCCUCGCGGCUC